rnacentral:rRNA from 1 species
UCUUGGUUCAUUUUGGGAAGUAAAAGUCGUAACAAGGUUUCCGUAGGUGAACCUGCGGAAGGAUCAUUAUUGAAUGAACUUGGUGUGGUUGUUGCUGGCUCUUUCGAGGGCAUGUGCACGCCCACCAUCCUCAUCUCUCCACCUGUGCACCUCUUGUAGACUUGGAUUGACUUUCCGAGGCAACUCGGUCGGGAGGAUUGCCGGCGCCAGCUGGCUUUCUUUGCAUUUCCAGGUCUACGUUUUUCAUAUACCCCAUUGUAUGUAACAGAAUGUAACAUUGGGCACUUGUGCCUAUAAACUUUAUACAACUUUCAGCAACGGAUCUCUUGGCUCUCGCAUCGAUGAAGAACGCAGCGAAAUGCGAUAAGUAAUGUGAAUUGCAGAAUUCAGUGAAUCAUCGAAUCUUUGAACGCACCUUGCGCUCCUUGGUAUUCCGAGGAGCAUGCCUGUUUGAGUGUCAUUAAAUUCUCAACCUUUAUCAACUUUUGUUGAUAAUGGCUUGGAUAUGGGGGUUUAUUUUGCUGGCUUCUUUACAGAUGGUCAGCUCCCCUUAAAUGCAUUAGCCGGUGCCCCGCGUGGACUGUCUAUUGGUGUGAUAAUUAUCUACGCCGUGGACAUCUGCAAUCAUAUGGGUUUGCACUGCUUCCAACUGUCUGUUGAAUCAGACAAUACAUGACAAUUUGACCUCAAAUCAGGUAGGACUACCCGCUGAACUUAAGCAUAUCANUA